rnacentral:rRNA from 1 species
AGUGAACGCUGGCGGUAGGCCUAACACAUGCAAGUCGAACGGCAGCACAGUAAGAGCUUGCUCUUAAGGGUGGCGAGUGGCGGACGGGUGAGGAAUACAUCGGAAUCUACUUUUUCGUGGGGGAUAACGUAGGGAAACUUACGCUAAUACCGCAUACGACCUACGGGUGAAAGCAGGGGAUCUUCGGACCUUGCGCGAUUGAAUGAGCCGAUGUCGGAUUAGCUAGUUGGCGGGGUAAAGGCCCACCAAGGCGACGAUCCGUAGCUGGUCUGAGAGGAUGAUCGGCCACACUGGAACUGAGACACGGUCCAGACUCCUACGGGAGGCAGCAGUGGGGAAUAUUGGACAAUGGGCGCAAGCCUGAUCCAGCCAUACCGCGUGGGUGAAGAAGGCCUUCGGGUUGUAAAGCCCUUUUGUUGGGAAAGAAAAGCAGCAGGUUAAUACCCCGCUGUUCUGACGGUACCCAAAGAAUAAGCACCGGCUAACUUCGUG